rnacentral:rRNA from 1 species
GAUCCUGGCUCAGAAUCAACGCUGGCGGCGCGCUUAACACAUGCAAGUCGAACGCGAAAGCCUGACUUCGGUUGGGCAAGUAGAGUGGCAAACGGGUGAGUAACACGUGGAUAACCUACCCUCGAGUGGGGAAUAACCCCGGGAAACUGGGGCUAAUACCGCAUACGAUCCAUCGGACUAAGUCCGGUGGCUGAAAGCCUUCGGGCGCUGGAGGAGGGGUCCGCGGCCGAUUAGCUAGUUGGCGGGGUAAAAGCCCACCAAGGCACAGAUCGGUAGCCGGCCUGAGAGGGCGCACGGCCACACUGGCACUGAGACACGGGCCAGACUCCUACGGGAGGCAGCAGUGGGGAAUCUUGGACAAUGGGCGAAAGCCUGAUCCAGCGACGCCGCGUGACUGAUGAAGCCUUUCGGGGUGUAAAAGUCUUUCGGCAGGGACAAUAAUGAUGGUACCUGCAGAAGCAGCUGCGGCUAACUACGUGCCAGCAGCCGCGGUAAUACGUAGGCAGCUAGCGUUGUUCGGAAUUACUGGGCGUAAAGCGAGUGUAGGCGGUUUGCCAAGUCCGUUGUGAAAUCUCCCGGCUCAACUGGGAGGGUGCGGCGGAAACUGGCAGGCUAGAGUGCGGAAUGGGAGAGUGGAAUUCCUGGUGUAGCGGUGAAAUGCGUAGAUAUCAGGAGGAACACCGGUGGUGAAGACGGCUCUCUGGACCGCUACUGACGCUGAGACUCGAAAGCGUGGGAGCAAACAG